rnacentral:rRNA from 1 species
CUGCUAUCGGAUUGAUACUAAGCCAUGCGAGUCUUUGCAGUAAUGCAAGGCGGACUGCUCAGUAACACGUAGUCAACUUAACCUAUGGAUGGGUAUAACCUCGGGAAACUGAGAAUAAUUCCCAAUAGAUCAUUUAUCCUGGAAUGGUUGAUGAUUGAAAUGAUUCGUCGCCAUAGGAUGGGACUGCGGCCUAUCAGCUUGUUGGUGAGGUAAAGGCCCACCAAGGCUAUUACAGGUACGGGCUCUGAGAGGAGAAGCCCGGAGAUGGGUACUGAGACACGGACCCAGGCCCUAUGGGGCGCAGCAGGCGAGAAAACUUUGCAAUGUGCGAAAGCACGACAAGGUUAAUCCGAGUGAUUUCUGCUAAAGAAAUCUUUUGCCAGUUCUAAAAAUACUGGUGAAUAAGGGGUGGGCAAGUUCUGGUGUCAGCCGCCGCGGUAAAACCAGCACCUCAAGUUGUCAGGAGGAUUAUUGGGCCUAAAGCAUCCGUAGCCGGCUCUGUUAGUUUUCGGUUAAAUCCAUAUGCUCAACAUAUGGGCUGUCGGAAAUACUGCAGAGCUAGGGAAUGGGAGAGGUAGACGGUACUCGGUAGGAAGGGGUAAAAUCCUUUGAUCUAUCGAUGACCACCUGUGGCGAAGGCGGUCUACCAGAACAUGUUCGACGGUGAGGGAUGAAAGCUGGGGGAGCAAACCGGAUUAGAUACCCGGGUAGUCCCAGCUGUAAACGAUGCAGACUAGAUGAUGCAUUAGCAUAUAGCUAGUGCAGUGUCUCAGGGAAGCCGUUAAGUCUGCCGCCUGGGAAGUACGUACGCAAGUAUGAAACUUAAAGGAAUUGGCGGGGGAGCACCACAAGGGGUGAAGCCUGCGGUUCAAUUGGAGUCAACGCCGGA